UACGAAGGGGGCUAGCGUUGCUCGGAAUGACUGGGCGUAAAGGGCGCGUAGGCGGCUCAUACAGUCAGAUGUGAAAUUCCUGGGCUUAACCUGGGGGCUGCAUUUGAUACGUGUGGGCUUGAGUGGGGAAGAGGGUCGUGGAAUUCCCAGUGUAGAGGUGAAAUGCGCAGAUAUCGGGAAGAACACCCGUGGCGAAGGCGGCUCUCUGGAACGCAACUGACGCUGAGACGCGAAAGCGUGGGGAGCAAACAGG
rnacentral:rRNA from 1 species